GAUGAACGCUAGCGGCAGGCCUAACACAUGCAAGUCGGACGGUAACAGGGAUUGCUUGCAAUCCGCUGACGAGUGGCGCACGGGUGCGCAACGCGUAUAGAACCUACCCUUUACAGGGGGAUAGCCCAGAGAAAUUUGGAUUAAUACCCCGUAGUACCUAUCAGAGGCAUUUCUAAUAGGUUAUAGUUUUCGAACGGUAAAGGAUGGCUAUGCGUCUUAUUAGCUAGUAGGUAAGGUAACGGCUUACCUAGGCUACGAUAAGUAGGGGCCCUGAGAGGGGGAUCCCCCACACUGGUACUGAGACACGGACCAGACUCCUACGGGAGGCAGUAGUGAGGAAUAUUGGACAAUGGGCGGAAGCCUGAUCCAGCCAUGCCGCGUGCAGGAAGACGGCCCUAUGGGUUGUAAACUGCUUUUAUACGGGAAGAAUAAGGGAUACGUGUAUCCUGGUGACGGUACCGUAAGAAUAAGGACCGGCUAACUCCG
rnacentral:rRNA from 1 species